AUUGAAAAUGGAUUUACAACAGAAAGGCGUGAAAUUUUCGAAGUUCAAAGUUUUGUACUUUCCAGACCUGCACAACGAAUUACCUAUUUGAAAAAUAGAAUAUGGUUAGAAAUUGCUGAUGUAAUAGAGGAUUCAAGUACCAUUUACAAACAAAAUAUUGAAGAGAAUGUGCUCAAAGGAAAUGCAUAUGAAUUCGUUUUUGUUGACCAGGAUGGAACAAUUCUUUGGAACCUAUAGUUAGAAUAAGUUAGUUAGGCCUAGUGAUGUACCAGCUAGAGGUAGAGGAUGACAAAGAAAAUCAACUAUGAAUAAUAUUCCAUGGAUAUGAUUCAUGUAUGAUGUAGUAGCCUACAGAAGAAAGAGAUGGACUAAUCUAAGAAAUAUAUUCAUUUUUUCAGUACAUCUUGAUGUGUUUAUUUCAUGUUAUUCAUAAUAAUAUCUUCUUUUUCUGAUCGCUCCUACUAACUGCUUUAAUUCAGGUAGUUUUGAAGAAAACAGCAAGUGACAUGAAAUUAAUAAAAUAUGUUUUAAUUGUUUAUACUUGAGGGAUUUUUAAAACUAUAUUUAACCCAAAAGCAUCGAACUCUUAUUAACAACUUUAUUGGUUCUGUAUGUCUUCUGCUUUUUUGGAACUAAUAAAAUUAUUUAACAUUGCUGACUGGCAAAUGCUAUAGGUAACACGUAGUUAAAUAAUAGACUUGAAUUGGAUAUAAAAUGGGGAAUCACAAUUAUUAUGUAUUGUAUUAAUAAUUAAGUAAUAGUA